rnacentral:rRNA from 1 species
UACGAAGGGGGCUAGCGUUGCUCGGAAUCACUGGGCGUAAAGGGUGCGUAGGCGGGUCUUUAAGUCAGGGGUGAAAUCCUGGAGCUCAACUCCAGAACUGCCUUUGAUACUGAGGAUCUUGAGUUCGGGAGAGGUGAGUGGAACUGCGAGUGUAGAGGUGAAAUUCGUAGAUAUUCGCAAGAACACCAGUGGCGAGGGCGGCUCACUGGCCCGAUACUGACGCUGAGGCACGAAAGCGUGGGGAGCAAACAGGGA